AUGUUGAAAUCCAAGAUGAUAAGACUAAGACGAAAGUUUUUGAAGAAUCUGUUCUAGAAAAAGAAGGUGAUAAGAAUGGGCAUGAAAAGCUUGAGAAAUCUAUCAUAGGGAACAAAAGAAGAUCAAGCUAUGGAGACUUCAAUGGAAAUUGAAGACAAUCAAGACAAGGAAAUGACAGUGAAAAUACAAAAGAGUUUACCAGCCUUAGGAGUCGAAUCUAACCAAAACGAAUGUCAAAAUCAUAAUCAAUGAGUCAAAAUUAGCAGGAAGGGUCCAGCCAAAAUUUUUGUUGAUGUGGAACUGAUGCUGAACUGACAGUGAUCUGGCGCUGAUGUCGGUGAGAACAAGAGCUGAAGAGCAGAACUAGGUGCUUAACAGCUCACAGUGGCCAGGUGAGCUUAAGCUUUAGACCCGAGUGGAUCCUGAUCUGACCUGGUUGGAUCUUACUAUAGCGGCAUUGGAAUUGAGUUCUAACCGCAGGGAGACAUCAAUCAGUGUGCCCGGUUGGGGGGGGAGGGGGAGAGGAGGAGGAGGAGGAGGAAG
rnacentral:misc_RNA from 1 species